UGGGGAAUUUUGGCAAUGGGCGAAGCCUGAUCCAGCAAUGCCGCGUGUGUGAAGAAGGCCUUCGGGUUGUAAAGCACUUUUGUCCGGAAAGAAAUCCUUGGCUCUAAUACAGUCGGGGGAUGACGGUACCGGAAGAAUAAGCACCGGCUAACUACGUGCCAGCAGCCGCGGUAAUACGUAGGGUGCAAGCGUUAAUCGGAAUUACUGGGCGUAAAGCGUGCGCAGGCGGUUUGCUAAGACCGAUGUGAAAUCCCCGGGCUCAACCUGGGAACUGCAUUGGUGACUGGCAGGCUAGAGUAUGGCAGGAGGGGGGUAGAAUUCCACGUGUAGCAGUGAAAUGCGUAGAGAUGUGGAGGAAUACCGAUGGCGAAGGCAGCCCCCUGGGCCAAUACUGACGCUCAUGCACGAAAGCGUGGGGAGCAAACAGGAUUAGAUACCCUGGUAGUCCACGCCCUAAACGAUGUCAACUAGUUGUUGGGGAUUCAUUUCCUUAGUAACGUAGCUAACGCGUGAAGUUGACCGCCCGGGGAGUACGGUCGCAAGAUUAAAACUCAAAGGAAUUGACGGGGUC
rnacentral:rRNA from 1 species